GGGCCCUGUUGCAUAAAAAUUUAUGUCAUAAUGACAUAAAUUUUGAUCGUGACAUAAAAUCAUGCAUAGCUUAUGUCGUUGACAUAAAUUUCGUUGCAUAAAAAUAUUUAUGUAUUGUUUUAGCUUAUGUCAAGUUAUCACGCGAUAUACAUAAACUGAAUAGUCAUGAACGAGCCUGUUGACAUAAACUUGGCAUAAGUUGUCAUUUUUCAGCCGCAGGAAGCUCUUGCGAAAAAGGGUCUACGGCUUCCUAUUUGGACGGGAAAGAGGCAUAUUUUGGUGACCCACACAAACGGUGAGAAGAGGUACAUGUAUAGAGAGAAAGGGGCACAGCAACUGAAAGGAGAGGGAAGUCCAGACACUCUACCACGGUCUGCCAUUGAAUAAGAAGUCUCUCUUUGGAUCAGGGGGUCAAGCUCCUAGUAUGAAGAUUGUUCAAGAGUCAAGACUGUUGAAGAGGUGACGUCAUGGACCUGGUAGCACCUGGCAAGGGAACUAUAUUACUGUUCAUAAAUCUAUUACUCAAGUAUCCUAAAAACGCUUUAAAAAUUUGAACAUUAACAAAAGUACUAAUUUUCAUUUUUCAAAGAUAAUAAUCAUUAUAUUGACAUUGUGAAUAUAUUUUAUGAUUAUCAUAAAAUUAUUAUAAUGUAAAUGAUGAUAGGUCAUACUAAUACAAAUAAACAAUAAGUAGAAAAGAAGACAACCAAGGAGGAGGAGAAGAAGAAAAAGAAGAGGGGUGGAAGAGGAGAAAAGGAGAAGAAGAAUAAAUAACAACACUGAGUUCCUCUUCAUGAUAUUACAGAAAUCUUCAUCUUUAAGUGGAAAUAUUUAUGAAUAGUAUAAUAUAUAAUGUAUGAAAAAAACAUUUUAUCUAAAUCCAAGUUCCACUUUAAUCAUGUUUAUAAAGUCAUAGGACAGGUGACAAGAUAACAUUGUUUCACAAAUUUUAGUGUUUAUUUAUUUUAAAAGUAAUAAAUUUACAUGAAAUGUCAUUCUUUUUGCUUCAUCUCUUUGUUUAUUUUAUUGAAUCGGGGGUGGGGGUGUGGGUGGUCAAAAUAUGAUUUGCCCCUCAGAACAAACUUGUUUCCCUACUAAAAAUAGUAUUAAUAUUUGUAGAAAAUUGUAGGAUUGUUUUUAUCAAAUUUGGAAAGUAAUUGAGGGCGAGAAAUGAAAAUGAGAUAGAUCUAUGUAGAGAUGCAAUGUAUAAGUAAUAAUGAGAAAGCGCGGGCGAGGUGAAUUAGAAAGGGAAAAGGGAAAUGAAAAAGUAUAAAUGUGAAAGAGUCAUUAACAGAGAGGGAGAGAUGUAUAGAGAAUUGUAAAGAUAAAUUUCGUGAAUGAUAGUGGCCUAAUCUCGGAGGGAGGGAGAUAAUGAAAGCGAUAAAAGGAUAAAGCAUCUUUUUUCGGGGGGGGGGGGUUACAUUUGAUGAGAGAGAGAGAUAGAAAGAAAAUGUCCUGGUGCUCAAAGAUGAAUAAAUGUAAAUGAUUGGUGACAGAGGUAUGGAUUAAGGGAUACAGGUGGUAUGAACGUGUCCCAAUUAAGGCACAAAGCCAUGAUGAGUAGUGGCCCCUCAUGUGCACUCCUCUUGGAAUUUGGGCAAUAAGUGAGCAUAUU
rnacentral:lncRNA from 1 species